rnacentral:lncRNA from 1 species
GGCCAGGGUGAGACGAUGUGGACACGCACAGCCCACUUUUUGGCAUCAUCUCCGGACGACAGUGGCUACAACCUGUGGGAAGAUAAGCUGUGUCAGCCGACUAGCAGCAAGGGCUGGAUGCGAACCCGGGUGCUAGGGUACAGCCCGCCAAUCAACACAUCUCUGUUGGGGUGGGAUCGGCCAAUCAAAGGGUCCUUGAUAGAAGGCGGAGCCUGCCAACCAAAGGCUGUCCCUAGGAAGAGGCAGAAACCACGAAUCUACUAAACGGGGUGGGGGUGCAGGGGCGCGUGGUGAUGGGGGAUGCACUGCGCUUGCGGUUCAGCAUCCAUUUCCUCGGGUUCUUCAUUUCCUCUGGGCCUGCAAGACAAAUACCCAGGGCCCGGACCACAGCAGAGGGGAAUUAAGACAGGGAGGUGAACCUGGGAGGCUGCCUGGCAGAGGUGGCGCCAGCUGCCGGUGGGUGGAGCCUCGUAGCCCUGCCCUGUAGCCCCGCCCCCGCCCUGUCGCUCAACUGGGCUCUAGCCAAGCGCGCAGCAUCCAGCGCUGCGGCUCCGGGCUAUGGACGCCCCGGGUGCUCCGGCCCCAGCC